GAUGAACGCUGGCGGCGUGCCUAAUACAUGCAAGUCGAGCGAAUGGAUUGAGAGCUUGCUCUUAUGAAGUUAGCGGCGGACGGGUGAGUAACACGUGGGUAACCUACCCAUAAGACUGGGAUAACUCCGGGAAACCGGGGCUAAUACCGGAUAACAUUUUGAACCGCAUGGUUCGAAAUUGAAAGGCGGCUUCGGCUGUCACUUAUGGAUGGACCCGCGUCGCAUUAGCUAGUUGGUGAGGUAACGGCUCACCAAGGCAACGAUGCGUAGCCGACCUGAGAGGGUGAUCGGCCACACUGGGACUGAGACACGGCCCAGACUCCUACGGGAGGCAGCAGUAGGGAAUCUUCCGCAAUGGACGAAAGUCUGACGGAGCAACGCCGCGUGAGUGAUGAAGACCUUCGGGUCGUAAAACUCUGUUGUUAGGGAAGAACAAGUGCUAGUUGAAUAAGCUGGCACCUUGACGGUACCUAACCAGAAAGCCACGGCUAACUACGUGCCAGCAGCCGCCGUAA
rnacentral:rRNA from 1 species